ACAUAAAACAGAGCACUGAGUAUCCCAAAGGUGCUCAACCAUGACCUGGAUGACUGAGAAUCUCCGUAGACAUUGAGAGCACUGACUUCAUCUCACGCUCUUUGAAGGACAGUCAAAACAAGUUGUUGAAUACGUCCGGUUUAACAACUGGUUCGGUGAGUGCACACUUUGCGCAUGUAUGCAUGCUUGCACGCAGUGCUGAAAAUGGAGAAUUUAGAAGCUCAGCUGCUUACCUUCCAAGUCAGCAAUGUACAUUUGGCCCAUCUGAGCAACUGACUCCAAAGGCCAUUAAGAAGAAGCCUGAUCAAGGUUUUGCAGAAAACAAAACUGCUCCUUGUUUUACUGACAAUGCUAGCAGUCCCUUUCUCACUCAAGAAGAACUCAUUCAUAACUGUGUUGAUCGAGACGGGUGGAAAUCUCUUGCACAGCAACUGCCAGACCAGAGAUCUUCAACCAACAUUAAACCUGCUGAGAUACCA